UGAGAGGAUUGCUGUUGUACUACAAUCAUGGUGCAAAAAUACCAGUCACCAGUGAGGGUGUGUGUAUCCACCCCUUUGAAUCAGUUAUGGCUCUGGCCAGUAUAGGGAUGGAACCCUGGACCUUAGUGUAUGAGAACCACGCACUAACCAACCAAGCAACUGGCCAGCCCCCGUUAGGUGACUGUUACCUGUUUCUGUUCUUUGUAUAAAUAAAAACUCAGGUGUUUUUGCAUCUGGCUGCCUCUGCUCAGCA